UAUUAUAUUACACUACAAAAAAUUAUUUAUACGUGUGGUCCUGAUCAAGAUACAUUUACAUACCCUAAGGCAUUCAGACCAAGACUUAUAUCCCCUGUUGUUACAUAUACGGUUAAUAUAAAUGCACACACAGGGAUUUCUCAUUGGCUAUGAAUUUGUUAUCCAAGUUUGCGUAGUUAUGAGGUUGCAAGGGAAGUUGUGAAGGAAAGCAAAAUAUUCACUCAUGUAUGACUUAUCAAAUUAGUACCCAUUCAAAAACCUGUCUUCAUUUAGCAUGUGCUUCUGUCCUGACUUGUAAUUUGUUUGUAUGUUAAGCUUCUCAGGUGAUUCUUGGAUAUUACAGCAUUCACUAGACCAGUUAAAAAGUAAACAAGAGAAAGACCAACAGUGCUUUUGAGAUACAGGUAUUAAAGGGAGAAUGAUUUGAAAAUUAAAACAUUAAGAGAGGCACUAGGGAAGCUUAAUGUAACUUUUGAGUGUUUUGAAAACAAAAACUUUAUGAUUGCCCUGUGAAAAUCAAAUGACUUUGAAUUAGGCUAGCAUACAAUUUUUUGGAAAAAAUUUUGCCACAAAGGCAACAUUUAAUUUGCUCUUUUUGUGUUCUAAGAAUAAGCACAUAGUUUUCAUUAUAAUCUGAAUUGUAUUACAUAUAAGAUAAACUAAAACGUUUUCAAAAGAAUGUCCAAAUCAAGCUUUUUAUUCCCACUAUUUAUUGUAAAACUGGGACUCUGUAUUAAAUGGAUUUACUUUGUAUGGCCUUUUCGGGUUAUCACUUAACCUUAUUUGAAUCUUGUACUUGAAUUCUAGUUCUUACUCAUUUUAGAUGAUUUAUGAAAUCUUACUACUUUGUGAAUUCACCCAUUCUUCAUUCCCUUCGCUAUAUUGGACUUUGCUAAAUAUCUGGAAAGUGUAUCUUAUUGGCUUCAUGUAUAUGGCAUGUUUUCCUGGAAAAGUUUUAUUUAAUCUGUGUACAAUGCCUAUAGUGGGUAGAAAGCAUUGUAAAAUUAGUUUAUCUUUGCUCUGUCUAGAAGUAAAUAGAUAAGUAUGUUUUGUUCUUUUGUGAUUAGCAUGUUGGCAUAUAUGUUGAAUGCCUACUUAUAUUUCUGAAAUUAGAUUUUUCAGUUUUCCAACUUGGAAAAUCUAUAUGCAGUUAUAGGAAUCCUUUUUUGCAAAGUCAUCAUCUCAUGAUAUGAAACCAUAUUAGUAUUUUUUUAGCCCUUUAAUGAGAAGUGGUAUAAGAAAUAUUUUGACAAGGAUUAUAGCCUAGAUUUUCCCGUGUUUGCUCUUUAUGUAUAAAGAAAAAUUUGUGAGUGGAUUACUUAUUAACUAUCUGCCAUAGCCCAGUGGGGUAGACUUUGUUCAGAGAAUUGACCUUUGCUUAUAAAAGUUAAAUUUGUGGGCGGACCAUGCGGCUGGAGGUGUGACUAUCAGCCCAGGAGUGAGAGGGUGGAGGCAGCUCUUGCGAUCGAAAGGGACUUGAGACUCACCAGCCGCACACCAUGAAGGCCCUGUGGGUGCUGGGCCUCUGCCGUGUCCUGCUGACCUUCGGGUCGGUCAGAGCUGAUGAUGAAGUUUAUGUGGAUGGUACAGGAGAAGAGGAUCUGGGUAAAAGUAGAGAAGGUUCGAGGACAGAUGAUGAAGUAGUACAGAGAGAGGAAGAAGCUAUUCAGUUGAAUGAAUUAAAUGCAUCAUAAAUAAGAGUCCGAAAAGUUUGCCUUCCAAGCUGAAGUUAACAGAAUGAUGAAACUUCUCAUCAAUUCAUUGUAUGAAAAUAAAGAGAUUUUCCUGAGAGAACUGAUUCUGAGGCUUUAGGUAAGAUAAGGCUAAUAUCACUGACUGAUGAAAAUGCUCUUUCUGGAAAUGAGGAACUAACAGUCAAAAUUAAGUGUGAUAAGGUGAAGAACCUGCUGCAUGUCACAGACGCUGGUGUAGGAAUGACCAGAGAAGAGUUGAUUAAAAACUUUGGUACCAUUGCCACAUCUGGGACAAACGAGUUUUUAAACAAAAUGACUGAAGCACAGGAAGAUGGCCAGUCAACUUCCUGAAUUGAUUGGCCAGUUUGGCAUCGGUUUCUAUUCCACCUUCCUUGUAGCAGAUAAGGUUAUUGUCACUUCAGAACACAACAAUGAUACCCAGGACAUCUGGGAGUCCAACUCCAGUGAAUAUUCUGUAAUUGCUGACUCAAGAGGAGACACUCUAGGACGGGGAACGACAAUUACCCUUGUCUUGAAAGAAAAAGCAUUUGAUUACCUUGAAUUGGAUACAAUUAAAAAUCUUGUCAGAAAUAUUCACAGUUCAUAAACCUUCCUAUUUAUGUAUGGAGCAGCAAGACUGGAACUGCUGAGGAGCCCAUGAAGGAAGAAGCAGCAGCAAAAGAAGAGAAAGAAGAAUCUUAUGAUGAAGCUGUAGAAGAAGAAGAAAGAAGGAGAAGGAGAAAGGAGAAAGGAGAAAGGAAAGAAGAAGAGAAGGAGAAUGAGAAGAAGAAGAAGAAGAAAGAAGAAGAGGAGGAGAAAAGAAACCGAAGACUAAAAAAGUUGAAAAAACUGUCUGUGAAUGGGACAAUCAAACCAAUAUGGCAGAGACCAUCCAAAGAAGUAGAAGAUGAAUACAAAGCUUUCUGCAAAUCAUUUUCAAAGGAAAGUGAUGACACUGUGGCUUAUAUUCACUUUACUGCUGAAGGGGAAGUUACCUUCAAAUCAAUUUCGUUUGUACCCACAUUUGUUCCACGUGGCCUAUUUGACGCAUAUGGAUCUAAAAAGAGCAAUUACAUUAAGCUCUGUGUGCGCUGCGUAUUCAUCACAGAUGACUUCCAUGUUAUGAUGCCUAAGUACGUUAAUUUUGUCAAGGGUGUGGUGGACUCAGAUGGUCUCUCUUUGAAUGUUUCCUGCAAGACUCUUCAGCAACAUAAACUGCUUAAGGUGAUUAGGAAGAAACAUGUCUGUAAAACUCUGCGCAUGAUCAAGAAGAUUGCUGAUGAGAAAUACAAUGAUACUUUUUGGAAAGAAUUUGGUACCAACAUUAAGCUUGGCGUGAUUGAAGACCACUCGAAUCGAACACGUCUUGCUAAACUUCUUAGGUUCCAGUUUUCUCAUCAUCCAACCGACAUUGCUAGCCUACACCAGUAUGUGGAAAGAAUGAAGGAAAAACAAGACAAAAUCUACCUCAUGGCUGGGUCCAGCAGAAAAGAGGCUGAAUCUUCUCCAUUUGUUUAGUGACUUCUGAAAAAGGGCUAUGAAGUUAUUUACCUCACAGAACCUGUGGAUGAAUACUGCAUUCAGGCCCUUCCCGAAUUUGAUGGGAAGAGGUUCCAGAAUGUUACCAAGGAAGGAGUGAAGUUUGAUGAAAGUGAGAAAACUAAGUAGAGUCAUAAAGCAGUUGAGAAAGAAUUAGAGCCUCUGCUCAAUUGGAUGAAAGAUAAAGCCCUUAAGGGCAAGAUUGAAAAGGCUGUGGUAUCUCAGUGCCUGACAGAAUCUCCAUGUGCUUUGGUGGCCAGCCAGUACGGGUGGUCUGGCAACAUGGAGAGAAUCAUGAAAGCACAAGCAUACCAAACGGGCAAGGACAUCUCUACAAAUUACCAUGUGAGUCAGAAGAAAACAUUUGAAAUUAAUCCCAGACAUCCGCUGAUCAGAGACAUGCUUCAACGAAUUAAGGAAGAUGAAGAUGAUAAAACAGUUUUGGAUCUUGCUAUGGUUUUGUUUGAAGCAGUAAUGCUCCAGUCAGGAUAUCUUUUACCAGACACUAAAGCAUAUGGACAUAGAAUAGAAAGAAUGCCUCGCCUCAGUUUGAACAUUGAUCCUGAUGCAAAGAUGGAAGAACCCAAAGAAGAACCUGAGGAGACAACAGAAGACGCAGAGCAAGACAAAGACAAAGAAAUGGGUGUGGGAACAGAUGAAGAACAAGAAACAGCAAAGGAAUCUACAGCUGAAAAAGAUGAAUUGUAAAUUAUACUCUCACUGUUUGGAUCCUGUGUGGAGAGGGAAUGUGAAAUUUAAGUCAUUUCUUUUGGGAGAGACUUGUUUUUGAUGCACUCCACCAGUCCCCUUCUCCCUGCACUGUUAAAUGUGGGAUUAUGGGUUACAGGAAGAAGUGGGUUUUUUAGUUGAAUUUUUUUAACAUACCUUAUUUGUACUAUUUAACUGACUAUUCUUGAUGUAAAAUCUUGUCAUGUGUAUAAAAAUAAAAAAGAUUCC